rnacentral:rRNA from 1 species
GACGAACGCUGGCGGCGUGCUUAACACAUGCAAGUCGAACGGAAAGGCCUGCUUUCCCUUGUGGAUUGCGGGUACUCGAGUGGCGAACGGGUGAGUAACACGUGAGUGAUCUGCCCCCAACUUGGGUAUAAGCCUGGGAAACUGGGUCUAAUUCCCGAUAGGACUGCAGGGUGGUGCCUGUGGUGGAAAACGAUUUUCUAGUGGUUGGGGAUGAGCUCGCGGCCUAUCAGCUUGUUGGUGGGGUAAUGGCCUACCAAGGCGGCGACGGGUAGCCGGCCUGGGAGGGUGGACGGCCACAUUGGGACUGAGAUACGGCCCAGACUCCUACGGGAGGCAGCAGUGGGGAAUAUUGCACAAUGGGCGGAAGCCUGAUGCAGCGACGCCGCGUGGGGGAUGACGGCCUUCGGGUUGUAAACUCCUUUCGACCGCGAGGAAGCCUCCUGGUUGGAAGGGUGGUGACGGUAGUGGUAGAAGAAGCACCGGCUAACUACGUG